UGGGGAAUAUUGCGCAAUGGGGGAAACCCUGACGCAGCAACGCCGCGUGAGUGAUGAAGGCUUUCGAGUCGUAAAACUCUGUCUUUGGGGACGAAUAAUGACGGUACCCAAGGAGGAAGCCCCGGCUAACUACGUGCCAGCAGCCGCGGUAAUACGUAGGGGGCGAGCGUUGUCCGGAAUCACUGGGCGUAAAGGGCGCGUAGGCGGUUUGUUAAGUCAGGUGUGAAAGUUUUCAGCUUAACUGGAAAAGUGCACUUGAAACUAACUUACUUGAGUACUGGAGAGGUAAGCGGAAUUCCUAGUGUAGCGGUGAAAUGCGUAGAUAUUAGGAAGAACACCGGUGGCGAAGGCGGCUUACUGGACAGAGACUGACGCUGAGGCGCGAAAGCGUGGGGAGCGAACAG
rnacentral:rRNA from 1 species